rnacentral:rRNA from 1 species
AUUGAACGCUGGCGGCAUGCCUUACACAUGCAAGUCGAACGGCAGCACGGGAGCUUGCUCCUGGUGGCGAGUGGCGAACGGGUGAGUAAUACAUCGGAACGUACCCUGAAGUGGGGGAUAACGUAGCGAAAGUUACGCUAAUACCGCAUAUUCUGUGAGCAGGAAAGAGGGGGAUCGCAAGACCUCUUGCUUUAGGAGCGGCCGAUGUCGGAUUAGCUAGUUGGUGAGGUAAAGGCUCACCAAGGCGACGAUCCGUAGCGGGUCUGAGAGGAUGAUCCGCACACUGGGACUGAGACACGGCCCAGACUCCUACGGAGGCAGCAGUGGGGAAUUUUGGACAAUGGGCGCAAGCCUGAUCCAGCCAUGCCGCGUGAGUGAAGAAGGCC